UUAGGGUGUCAAGAAGAAUUGUAAGCAGAUUGAAUCUGCUAAAUUAUUACCUGAUACACCCGUUCAAUUCAUACCUCCAAAUACAUUGAACCUUCGUAGCUUUACCAAGAUCAUAAAGAGACUGGCUGAACUGCAUCCAGAAGUCAGCAGAGACCAUAUUAUAAAUGCACUUCAGGAAGUGAGAAUAAGACAUAAAGGUUUUCUGAAUGGCUUAUCUAUUACUACUAUUGUGGAGAUGACUUCAUCUCUUCUGAAAAACUCUGCUUCCAGUUAGGAAUUCAAAAAACAAUAAAGAGGUAAAGUAAUCAUAUUCUUUUGUAUUUGAAUAUUACUUAAAAUUUAUAAGCUAUUGAUUUCAUUUUCUUUUUACAUAAAAAACAUAUUAAAUUUAAAAUAAUAAUAUAAUCACAAAAUAAUAUGAAAUUUUAAAACAAGCAUACUGUAAUUAGUUAACUACUAAGGCAAAACUAAUUACCCUAAAAUUGACUGGCUUAAACAACACUCAUAAACUCACAGUUUGCAGAUCAGGAUUCAGGAGUGACUUAGCCGGGUAGUUUUAGCUCAGGGUUUUUCAUGUUGCAGUCAAGAUGUUGGCCUGGACUGUAGUCAUUCAGAGGCUUCCCUGAGACCAGAGGAUCUGCUUCUCAGGGGGCUCAUUCACAUGUCUGUUGGCAAGAGGCCUCAGUUCCUCACCACAUAGGCUCUUCCAUAAGGCUCUUCAAAUGUCUUUGCAUCAUGGCAGCU
rnacentral:lncRNA from 10 species